CACGUAGGCGGCCUGGUAAGUCAGAUGUGAAAGCCCGGGGCUUAACCCCGGAAGUGCAUUUGAUACUGUCAGGCUUGAGUAUGGGAGAGGGAAGUGGAAUUCCUGGUGUAGAGGUGAAAUUCGUAGAUAUCAGGAGGAACACCGGUGGCGAAGGCGACUUCCUGGACCAAUACUGACGCUGAGGUGCGAAGGCGUGGGUAGCAAACA
rnacentral:rRNA from 1 species